AGCAGUGAGGAAAUGCCAGGGGUUGUGCUGCUCUUCACCACGAGCUGAGCCUCCAAGGGACAGUGAGGGGCAGAGGUGUGAGCCCACCUGGGCACGGGGAGAUGGAGUUCGUGGGCUGAUGCCCUGAGACCUGGUGAGCUGCUUUCAGUUUUGGUGCUUGGAACAACAGCUCUGCAGUGACUGCAGUUGCUAUCGAGCAAGCCUGCAGGCACCUGUGGCUCUUCACCAUCAGAGAGAUUGCCAGGGUUGCCUGUGAGACAUCAGCCACUGCACUGCAACAAAGCCUGAAAAGAACAGGAAAGGCUCUGAGAUCUGCUGGGGAAGGUGCUUGUGCUCAUCACCAGAGGAGCAUUUUGAGAUGCUGACAGCACAGUGACCCUACCAACAACACACAAUCUUCAUCGCACUGUCUUUGUGCUUGGAUGCCAGGGAAAAUGUCCAGAACAGGCUUUUGUCUCAGCUCUCUGGCCUCAUGCCACAGUGACGGAUGCUUUUGGAAGCUGAGAUAGGGCUUUGCUUGUAUCUGAACCUGCAGCCACUUAGAGCUUACAGAUUCCCAGUCUCACAAGUUGAUACUCCUUGUCCUGAACCAUACCUGCAUCAAGUACAUCUCAAGUUCCUUCCCCAUAUAGCUUAGGAAGUGAUUCCUGGGCUAUGAUUUUGAAGAGAAAGCUGGUCAAGGGAAGUUAGCAUCUCUUUCUUAUAGUUUGUUGCUUCCACAGCUUCUCCGGGGGGGGGGAGAACACAUCUGGAACAGCACACCUUGUAGGGCUCAGUCACUCCCAGCCUGUCAUACUUCAUCCUCUGUGACAUCACAGCUUUCGAAGAGGAUGAGGAAAGAAGAAGAAUCGCAGCCUUCAACGAUUCUGGAUGAACCGCAUCCAGCUCUGGCAUCCCAGUGAUCUGCCCCAUCAGCAGUUCUGGUAAAACCCCCUAUAGCCUGGGAAGUAAGCCAGUGUGGAAGGCAGGUAUGGAAUCUGUAAGGGGAAUUGGGCAGAGCAUGUAGGAAUUAGGAAGAGGUACAGCACAGCCCUUGGGAGCACCAACAAAAACCAACAAACAAUAAAAGUUGGGUUUGUUAAUCAAAGACUUUAAAAACGAGUCUUCAUAAAUGAGUCUUCAUUCAUAUGGUUCAGUCUCCAUGACAUUACCAAGGAGUCUGGAAAGGGAGCAGAUGAGGAUGUGGGGACCAGGAGGGAUGCUCUUUUGCCCGUAAGAUGGUCACAGGAUGUCAUUUAUCAGCUGGUGACGAAAGCAGAUGUUUUUCUUUAGGAGUAACAUAUGCUUUCUCAUAUGGAGAAUUGCAGCUCCGAAGCUGCUGUAGAAUCCCUUCCGUCUUAAUCUCUCUUUUCUUUCCUUCUCUCCCUUAGCUCUUCAAGGUAGCAGUACUGCCAGCCUCAGCAUUCCUGAAUCAUGACUCAGGAAUGAUGAGAUGAAGGAACCUGAGGGUUUGCUUAUGCCCCUAGAACAGGACCCAUGCUGGUUCUUGCUUGGCCAGUUCUUUGCCCACCCUUCUGUCUCAAAUCUCCUUGCUCGGUUAUCUGAGUGCUCUUCCUGCUCUUUGGUCUAUCACAGCUUAUUCUUUCCUAUCUCCAGGAAGGAUUGUUACACCCUUCCCACCACUUUUAGCUCCCCUUUUCUCCUCAUGUCAUUGGCUCCUUACAGCUCCCAAGCCUAGUGUGCUUGUUCAACAUGCCCAUCUUCCCUUUCUCUAGGCCCUGCUUCCACUACAGCUAUUAGUCUUGACCCUUUUUUAACCCCGUGUGCUCUGACUUUCAAACUAGUCAUGUUUUUCACCCAGUCAAGGCUCUUUUCUCCCACUUCCACCGUUCAUUUUCCAGUACCUCCUGUCUUAAUCCCCACACCAGUUCUAGUGUCAUUACGCUCCUUGCCCUCAUCUAUUUCCUGUGCUUUCCAUCCCCAACGGACUUAACUGUCCUCCUUUCACUGAGCUGCUUCUCCUUCACCCUGAGUAGUGUCACCCUGACACAAGGACGACUCUCCUUCAUGCACUUCAGCUUCCUCCAAAGCAGCUGGGCUGGAGCUGUUCAUAGUAAAGGGCUAUUCUUUUUAACAUAUAGUUCAAUGGUCUAAACCAAAAUGUGUUUUCCUUUUUUUUCCCCUAAGUAAAUUAAAUUAAGCCAUAUUUUAAAAGAAAAGAAUAUAUAAAAAAUCAGAUGUAGGCAGACAGCCAAAUGGAAAAUUUCAGCUCCUAUCAUAAAAGUUAUGAGCCACUCAAUGUUUUAGAGUGGGAAUGCCCAGACAGCCUAAUUCCAGCUCUGCUGUUAAGUUUCUCCUUCCAAAAAGCUGCAGUUUGAACUUGCCACUCUGGGAUCAGUCACUUCACUGUUUCUCAUAGCUUCAGAAUAAGGCGGGAACACAGCAUUUGCUUUGCUUUAGAUCAUGCCUUCUCAGAAGCUUUGUCUGAAUUGUAAGGCAGAUGGAGACAUGACGUCUGAUAGCUGGAAACCUUUACCGUUACUUUACACUCAAAGCCUGCAAUUUUUCUGUGGGAAGAGAGAAGGGCAAACCUGGAACAUGGAGUUUUGCAUAUGGUUGGUCUGUUAGCAUUGUCACCAGUGUAAAUAAACCCAUUUUGAAACAGUCUUGUUACACCUCUAAAAAUUACUAAUGUGGACAUGUUCAAGCCUCGCCUAAGAUGUGUGGACUGGCUGCAAGCGGUGGACAUGUUGUGCCCAAUCUCGAUGUUUUAGUAUUAGAAGAUAGUGUUUAUGAUGAGUGCAGGCCAUGAUCCCAAGUCAGCAAGUGCCUAAGUGGAACUCGACACGAACCGAGGAGGAAGAAAGCCGUGGGUAAAGAAGCAAAAGUAACAGUGCAAGCAAGAUGAGAAGAAACUGGAAUGAGCUAAGACACAACAGUGAACUGUGAGCAUGUUUUAGAGACUAGGCUCCCAUAGGCUUAAUGUAACCAAUUGCAUACUAGUUGCUGUGUGCUACACUGUAUAUGUAUCUACUAAUAGGGCAAGCGAUUGAUUAUGUAUCCUGUCUUAAUACAGACAGUUAUUGUGUAUGUACCCAAGUAUAAUACACCAAGCUAUUGUAAGGAGAUGCAGACAACAGUAUAAAAAGGAUAGAUGCUUUGUAAUAAACAGCAUUCACUCGAUCACAUUGCUCAUUUCAGCGUUGUCCGUAACUCCAGCAUCGCAACAAAGAUGGACCAUUUCAAACUGGUGUAAUUAAUUUGGUGAGUUCCUAAGUAAAGGACGAGGAACCUGUUAAAUUAGUGCAAUAAACCAGAGAGCCUCUGGGCUGGUGUGGCUCACUGCCUGGCACACUAAUGACACUUCCGUGCCUGCCUGCAGCAUGCAGGUGCCCAGGGCAGCUAUGGCCCCUGCAGCAAUACAGCUCCCGCUCCCCAGGGCAGCACUUGCAAUGUGUCUCUGUGAAAGGUGCAAGAUGAAAACUGCACAGCACAGGACCUGCUGUGGGGGCUGAGGACUGGAGGAGGGGAAGGAGGGCUGCAGAGAGGAGGAAACCAGCAGCGCAGGCAGGCCCUGAAAAGUGGGGUGCCCUGGCAGGGCUGAGGUUGGACGAGAUUCCUUAAUUCAGACCUCCUCCUCCUGAGGCUGUUGUGGCAUCAAGUGCUGGACUUCACACUGAAGCAGGUAUCAAGCAUGCACAAUUUGUGCUCUUCACUAGGGCUGAGAGAUAAACAACUACUACUGCACUAGGUCAGCUGUGGACAGCCAGGGGACAAGAGCACCGAACCUGCGAUGAUUCCCACCAAGUGAGGAGCGCAUGUGCCCAAACCACAGAUCUAUCCAACUGAAGCCACGCUCAGAGCAGUUGAAGUUCCUCCUCUGAAUUAGGUGUUCUUGGUGUUUUACUAAGCAGCUGUAACAUCGAUCUAAAUGUGUCACGUGCAGAUGGUGUAGUACGGACCACACGUUGCAGACUAAAGCUCUGUGUUAGCUCAGCUUUACACAGCCUUGCUUGUGCCUUCAGCAAAA